rnacentral:rRNA from 1 species
AUUGAACGCUGGCGGCAGGCCUAACACAUGCAAGUCGAACGGUAACAGAAAGCAGCUUGCUGCUUUGCUGACGAGUGGCGGACGGGUGAGUAAUGUCUGGGAAACUGCCUGAUGGAGGGGGAUAACUACUGGAAACGGUAGCUAAUACCGCAUAACGUCGCAAGACCAAAGAGGGGGACCUUCGGGCCUCUUGCCAUCGGAUGUGCCCAGAUGGGAUUAGCUAGUAGGUGGGGUAACGGCUCACCUAGGCGACGAUCCCUAGCUGGUCUGAGAGGAUGACCAGCCACACUGGAACUGGGACACGGCCCAGACUCCUACGGGAGGCGGCAGUGGGAAAUAUUGCACAAUGGGCGCAAGCCUGAUGCAGCCAUGCCGCGUGUAUGAAGAAGGCCUUCGGGUUGUAAAGUACUUUCAGCGGGAGGAAGGGAGUAAAGUUAAUACCUUUGCUCAUUGACGUUACCCGCAGAAGAAGCACCGGCUAACUCCGUG